ensembl:lncRNA
AGAAGACUAGCCUGGUUACCUGGCGUUUUCUGUAUUCAGAAGACUAGCCUGGUUACCUGUUUCUGUACGCAGACUAGCCUGGUUACCUGUUUCUGUAUUCAGAAGACUAGCCUGGUAACCUGACUAUUUCUGUAUUCAGAAGACCUGCCUGGUUACCUGACUCUUUCUGUACUCAAUGCCACAGUACGUUGCUGCCUUGGCAAGAUAACCACAAGUUGUCUAAAACAGAAACACACCGGUACCAACUAGUUACCCAGACUAUUGAACGAUGUGUUGGACUCUGUAAUACACUACAUUACCAUAGUGAUCAUGGUUGUAGAAUAGGAAAGUGUAGCUCCAGGAUAGGCCAGUGUCAAUGCUUUCUGUGUGUGUGGAACCAUAGAAUAAUUAGAAUUCCAUUAGAAUUUGGUUCUAAUAGGCCUAUUCUAUGUGUAGAACCUUAAGCAACUGUCAACAGACGUUCUCAGGGAUUUCUCUAAAACUAACAGAAAAAGGAAGAAAAAAAAGUACAGGAAACAAAAUGUGACACGACACGAGCAAGCGUAUAUUGUGCUGUGUAUAUACAAUAGUAUAAGUCUGAAUAUGGAGGAUUCUAAAGUAUAUGUUAACUAAUUUAUACAGAGUAUUCUAUGUAAUGUGAAAUACUUGAAGCCGCUGUAGCUUGUCCUUUUUCUAUUUUUCAUUUUCUUCUUUUAGAAUUUUGUCUUUUUUGGCCUCAUACCAUAUCAAAAAGACUGAUUUGGUCAUGUUUAUGCUAGGUUACUGAAAGUUCACAAAUGGGGUGUCAAUACUAAAACAUUGAUUCUGAUUAUUGGACUGCUAUCAAGUUUUUGGAGUCUGGCGGGGGAAAAAAAUCUUUGUCUCUCAAACGGUCACUUUUCACAAUGAUCCAAUUGACUUCUGGAACUGAUGUGCAUUAUUGGAUUCAUACACGCCGCAUAGUAACGCAAGCACUGACUUCUCAUUACACGGCCUCAUAACACUGAUCAGCUGUGGAGAAACCACUGACCUCCAGUUGUGCAGAACUCUGAUCCUCAAGGCUUACUGGUCUGCCUGUUUUCUCACUCAUCGGAUUCAAAGAGUUUAGAGUUAGAACAUGGCUAACCAGUGGUGUGAAACCUCUGGUCCCCGAUUGAAAGUGACCAAACCCUUAAAACCAGCAGGGCUGUGAUCCUUAAGGACAGGAGUUGUGCUCUGCUGUGGUGGGCUACAGUCCUGUUCUCUCUUUCAUCUGACCGUGCCGCUUACAAGACCGCUGUCUCUUUGUACGGUCGGGCCAUUGUACUCAGAACUUUUUUCUUUCUUUUUUUUUUCUCUCCUUUUUUUCGAAGCGCUUUCUCUUUUGUUCUUUAAAGAAGAAACAGCCUUUUCUCUUGCCUUGUCUUAAACGCUUUAAAGUAACCAAACAGGAGUUCUAACAACCAAACAAAUACGUUCCAAGAAGUGAAAGCCAAGCCACCUUGGUCCCAGCUUUAGUGUCCUUAAUUAGUAACUGACUGGCUGUGUACACUCUUUGUGCUUUGAACAAAGC